GCGCCGUUAGCUCAAUUGGAUAGAGCAUCUGACUACGGAUCAGAAGGUUAGGGGUUCGAAUCCCUUACGGCGUGCCA
rnacentral:tRNA from 1 species